UACGGAGGGGGCUAGCGUUGUUCGGAAUUACUGGGCGUAAAGCGCACGUAGGCGGCUUUGUAAGUUAGAGGUGAAAGCCCAGGGCUUAACCCUGGAAUUGCCUUUAAGACUGCAUCGCUAGAAUCGUGGAGAGGUGAGUGGAAUUCCGAGUGUAGAGGUGAAAUUCGUAGAUAUUCGGAAGAACACCAGUGGCGAAGGGCGC
rnacentral:rRNA from 1 species